rnacentral:rRNA from 1 species
GAUGAACGCUGGCGGCGUGCCUAAUACAUGCAAGUCGAGCGGUAAGGCCCUUCGGGGUACACGAGCGGCGGACGGCAGAGUAACACGUAGGAACGUACCCCAAAGUGAGGGAUAGCCCACCGAAAGGUGGAUUAAUACCGCAUGUGGUCUUCGGAUUAAAGCAGCAAUGCGCUUUGGGAACGGCCUGCGUAAGAUUAGCUAGUUGGUGAGGUAACGGCCCACCAAGGCGACGAUCUUUAGCUGGUCUGAGAGGAUGAUCAGCCUGACUGGACUGAGACACGGCCCAGACUCCUACGGGAGGCAGCAGUAGGGAAUUUUCCACAAUGGGCGAAAGCCUGAUGGAGCAACGCCGCGUGCAGGAUGAAGGCCUUCGGGUUGUAAACUGCUUUUGUCUGAGAAGAAUAUGACGGUAACAGACGAAUAAGGGUCUGCUAACUACGUGCCAGCCGCCGCUGUAA